rnacentral:ncRNA from 1 species
AUCCCAGUGAGAAUGCCCCCCCCCACCCUUCCUCUUCCUCGAAAAUAAGGAGCUGGCAUCAGGCACCCAUUACGAUUGAGCCCACAACGCCUUGCUUAGCCACGCCCCCAAGGGAUUUCAGCAGUGAAAAACAUUAUGCAAUAAGCGAAAGCUUGACCUAGUCAUAGCUACAUUAAGGGCCGGUCAACUCUCGUGCCAGCCACCGCGGUUAGACGUGAGGCCCAAGCAGAUGAGCUUACGGCGUAAAGUGUGGCCAAGGAACCUAUUUAAAUUAAAGCUAAACGCCCUCAAUGCUGUAAUACGUUGUCGAGGUCAAAGAAGGACAACCACGAAAGUAACUUUAUUUUUUCCCCACCCACUAAAGCUCUGGCACAAACUGGGAUUAGAGACCCCACUAUGCCUAGCCUUAAACGUUGAUAGUAACUUACAGAUGCUACCCGCCUGGGAACUACGAGCGCAAGCUUAAAACCCAAAGGACCUGGCGGUGCUUUACAUCCAUCUAGAGGAGCCUGUCCUAGAACCGAUAAUCCUCGUUUAACCUCACCCCUCCUAGUUUUAACUUUUCAGCCUAUAUACCGCCGUCGUAAGCUUACCCUGUGAAGGCCCAAUAGUAAGCCCAAUCAAAUACUAUUCUAAACGUCAGGUCGAGGUGUAGCCUAUGAAGGGGGAAGAGAUGGGCUACAUUCACUAAAUUUAGUGUAUACGAACGACUAUAUUGAAACGUAUGUCCAAAGGAGGAUUUAGAAGUAAGCUGAGAAAUAGAGCGUCCAGCUGAAUUUUGGCUCUGAAGCACGUACACACCGCCCGUCACUCUCCCCAAAAAUAAUUAUAUCUUAAUUAAAACACUGCCUUAAAUAAAGGGGAGGCAAGUCGUAACAAGGUAAGUGUACCGGAAGGUGCACUUGGAAGA